GACGAACGCUGGCGGCGUGCUUAACACAUGCAAGUCGAACGGUAAGGCCCUUCGGGGUACACGAGUGGCGAACGGGUGAGUAACACGUGGGUGAUCUGCCCUGCACUUCGGGAUAAGCCUGGGAAACUGGGCCUAAUACCGGAUAGGACCACUGCAUGCAUGGGUGGUGGUGGAAAGCUUUUGCGGUGUGGGAUGGGCCCGCGGCCUAUCAGCUUGUUGGUGGGGUGAUGGCAUACCAAGGCGACGACGGGUAGCCGCCUGAGAGGGUGACCGGCCACACUGGGACUGAGAUGCGGCCCAGACUCCUACGGGAGGCAGCAGUGGGGAAUAUUGCACAAUGGGCGCAGGCCUGAUGCAGCGACGCCGCGUGAGGGAUGACGGCCUUCGGGUUGUAAACCUCUUUCAGCACCGACGAAACGCAAGUGACGGUAGGUGCAGAAGAAGGACCGGCCAACUACGUGUCAGCCGCCGCCGUAA
rnacentral:rRNA from 1 species